UCGAUACAUCACAUAAUUAUCUAUACAACAUUAAUACACAUUUAUAUAAUAUUGAUUCACGUUUAUACACCAUUUAUGGAAUAUUAGUUCGUUACAUAAUUAAUCUAUACAAUAUCGAUACAUAUUUAUACACAUUUAUACAAUAUCAAUACAUGAAAAAAGUUGCAUGUUAAAAGAACAACUAACGCUCUAUUACUAAUCCCCUUUUGUACACUUUUUCAAAUUUAUGUACAAAUGAUUUGUGUAUCGGUUAUACAUCCAUCUUAUUUUAUUUUAUAUUUUAAUGAAAAACUCUAUAGCAAAGAGAAAAAUCAAUCCCUAGAAAAUGAUUUUCUAAUCCCUAAAAGACAAUAGCGACCAAAAAAAAUUAAUCAUCAUCCCAUUUAUGUAGCCUCUACCACGGAAGGUGUUAAAAGAAGUUAAUGAAUAUUAGUUAGUUAAAUAACUAACACUUCAAAAGUUAGUUAGUAAGUCUAUUUUGUAUUUUCCAGAUUAGUAGUUAAACUAGUUUGUUGCCUCGUUUAUCGUGCUGAUAAAAAUUAGUUAGUAUCCUUUUUCUGCUUCUGAUUGCUAUAUAAGCAGUGAAUAUGUAAGGAGUUUAACAGAUCAAUACAAAAUUUCUUCUUCUCUCUUCUUCAUGUUCUAGCUUUCUCUCUAAAGGUUCUUUAAUGGAAUUGUGAGCUUGAAUGCUCACUACCUUUUGUUCAUGGUAUCAGAGCAAAGUAGUAUGUGGAGUUAGUUGAGUUUAGAUCUCUACUAGUUGGUGAAAUUCGUAGCUUAAAGAUCUGUAGAAAUGGUGGGAGUGAAGAUAGAUCAGAAUGAUCCUUUAUACAUUGGAAAUUCAGACAAUUCAAGUGUUGUGUUUCCAAUUAAGUUGAUUGGAUCUGAGAAUUAGGGAGUUUGGAGUAGGGCGAUGAGGAUUGCACUACUAGGGAAGAGAAAGUAUGGUUUUGUAACUGGUGCAUGUACCAGAGCUUUGUACAGAGAAGAACUGCAUGAGCAAUGGAAAACUUGCAAUGCGAUUGUGUUGUCUUUGCUGAUGAACACAGUUAGUGAAGAUCUUCUUAGUGGUAUCGUCUAUGCCACAAAUUCUUUCUCAGUGUGGAAUGAUCUCAAGGAAAGAUUUGACACGGUAAAUCGAGUAAGGAUCUAUCAAUUACAUAGAGAUAUCACCACUCUUUCACAAGUUACAAAUACUAUAUCUCAUUACUUCUCAAACAUAAAAAUACUGUGGAAUGAAUACGAUGCUAUAGUUCCAAAUCCAUGUGGUGCUUAUCCUCAAUCGAAGGUAUAUAAUGAUCAUCUGGAGCAGAUAAGAUUGAUUCAAUUUCUGAGUGGCCUAAAUGAAUCAUAUGAUCAGGCUCGCAGACAAAUACUACUUAAAGGGACUACACCAUCUAUGAAUCAAGCUUAUGUUAUGAUUAUAGAUGCUGAGAUCCAACACUCAAGUUAUAUGCUAAUGGAAUUGAGAAGCCAAGUUUUAUGACGAUGAAUGUAAACAGGAAUCAGGGAACUGGAAAGGAACACUACAAAGGGAAGAAGUGUGAUUACUAUCAUUUCCUUGGUCACACCAAGGAUAACUGCUACAAGUUGAUUGGAUAUCCAAGUGACUGGAAACAAAGGAAGAAACCAGGCUAUGGAAAUGGGAAUGGAAACAUGAGAAAUGGUACAAGACAAAUCAAUUCAAUGGCUAUAAAGGACAAAGUUCAAGAAAUACUGGUGGAUACGGAAGAGGAUAUCAGUCAGCAAACAAUAUCUCUAAUGACCACUGUGAUCAUCCUAAUACUGCAUCAACUAGUUAGGUGAAAAACAGCAACCUGCCAAAGGUGCCAAUGGGAAAAACAUUUACUGAGAAGGAGUACAAACAAAUAAUGGAGAUGUUAAACAGGGAUGUGCAAGAGACAAAACAAGUCAAAUAUGACAGGUAUUACUACUUGCUUAAUGACAAAUUCUAUUAUUCAAGAUUGGAUUGUUGAUUCAGGUGCAACUCAUCAUAUCAAUGCAAACAAACAAUUACUGACUAGGAGACAUGAAUUCACCAAGUCACAAAAGAAUCAAGUUCAUCUUCCAACAGGUGACAAGGUUACAGUUAGUCAUAUUGGUGAAACACCUAUAUUUGACAGUGAAGUGACUAGAAGUGUCUUGCAUGUACCAGAUUUCAAUUCAGUUUGUUAUCAGUGUCAAAGAUUACAAGGGAACUAAACUGCUUUGUAUCAUUUUAUCCUGACUUUUGUGUGUUUCAGGACCUCUGCAGUGGCAGGGUGAAGGGGAUUGGUAGAGAAGAAGGAGGAUUAUACAGUUUUAAGGCUGACUUUACAUCUAAACAGAAGGAGGAAAUAAGGUGUGCUCAGGAAAUAGUAGUUGCAGGAGCUAAAAUACACGACACAAAUCUAUGACACAGAAGGUUAGGACAUCCAUCUCAACAAAUAUUGAGACAUAUCGAAUUAUGUACAAGCAGUAAAGGUGAUGAAGUAUAUACACAUUGUCCUGUUUGUCCUUUAGCCAAGCAAACUAGACUUACUUUUCCUAUUAGUACUACUAGAGCAUCCAUGAUGUUUGAUGUUGUUCAUAUGGAUCUAUGGGGACCUUAUAAGACCCCUACUAUAGAUAGAAAGCAUUACUUCUUGACAGUAGUAGAUGACUAUAGUAGAUUUGUAUGGGUUCAUUUGUUGUAGUUAAAAUCUGAAACCAUUGUGGCUAUCAAAAAUUUAUUUUCAGUGAUUAAGACUCAGUUUGAUUCUCAUGUCAAAAUUGUGAGAUCUGACAAUGGCACAGAGUUUCUUAAUUCAAAAUGUAGAGAUUUGUUCAAUCAUCUAGGAGUAUUGCAUCAAAGUAGUUGUCCUCACACACCACAACAAAAUGGUGUGGUUAAGAGAAAGCACAUACACUUCUUUAAUAUUGCUAGAGCUAUCAGAUUCUAAGCUCAUUUGCCUAUCAGAUUUUGGGGUUAUUGCAUCAAGGUUGCAGUGUACUUAAUUAAUAGAUUACUUUCAUUAGCUAUUUCUAACAACAGUCCCUAUGAAUUACUUCAUUGUAAACAACCAAGUUUGUCUCAUCUAAGAGUCAUAAGUUGUCUUUGCCAUGCUACAACAGUGCCUAAAGGGGAUAAAUUCUCAGCAAGAGCUAAUGUUGCUAUUCUCUUAGGGUAUUCAGAACUACAUAAGGGUUAUAUAUUAUUGGACAUCCAUUAUACUAAGGUGUAUGCGAAUAGAGAUGUAUCUUUCAUGAAGAAGUUUUUCCAUUUUCUAAGGUGAUACCUCAACUUGAUUCCUCAGUUGUUGUGCAUGGUUCACCUUUAGAGAAAGUAGAAAGUCAAGUUGUUGAGGAUAAGAUUGAUAAUGAAGAUAAUAAGGAGCCUGCAGAUACUAUCACAGUCAAUGAAGAUAAUCAGAAUGUUCAAAUUGAGAAUUCUUGAGUAGAUCAGAUGCCUGAGCCUAGUCCAACAGUGGAAGUUUCUGAAAAUAUUCAUGCAGUACCAUCACAAGUUGACUCUCAUAUUAGAAGAAAUUCAAGAAGCACCAAAGAGGCAAUUUGGAUGAAAGAUUAUGUCAUUACUAAGAGACAUAGUAACACCAAACAUCCUAUGGAUAAUUUUCUAAAUUAUGACAAAUUAAAACCUGAGUACAGAAGUUUUGUAAGUAAGCUUUCAGAAUGUGUGGAACCUAAUAAUUUUAGUCAGGCUGCAAAAGAUGAAAGGUGGAUACAAGCUAUGCAGCAGGAAAUCAAAGCUCUUGAACAAAAUAAUACUUGGCUAGUGGUUGACUUACCAGAAGGCAUGCAUACAGUUGGUUCUAAGUGGAUAUAUAAAGUAAAAUACAAGGCAAAUGGUGAGAUAGAAAGGUUUAAAUCAAGACUCGUUUCAAAAGGAUACUGUCAGCAAGAAGGAUUGAUUACAAUGACACUUUUUCUCCAGUUGCCAAAAUGGUGACAGUCAGAUCUGUCAUUGCAUGAACACUAUCAAAAGGCUGGACAUUAUACCAAAUGGAUGUCUAUAAUGCUUUCUUGCAAGGUGAUUUAGAUUAAGAGGUCUAUAUGGAGAUACAUGAAGUUUUGCAAGACCAGGUGAAAACAAAGUAUACAAGUUACUCAAGUCUUUGUAUGGACUUAAACAAGCUUCAAGAUAAUGGAACCUAAAACUUACAAAGGCAUUACAAGCCAUAGGUUUUACUCAGAGUGCUCAUUAUUACUCAUUAUUCACACUAAAAAAGGGGAAGAUCUUGUCAUUGUUAUAGUCUAUGUAGAUUAUCUAUUGAUCACAGGAAGUAAAACACAAUUGAUUACAAAAGUUAAGGCAUGUCUACACAGACAGUUCAAAUUGAAGGAUCUAUGUGAACUUAAGUUCUUGUUAGGCAUUGAAGUAUUGAGGUCCUCUAAAGGAACUAUUUUGAAUCAAAGGAAAUAUAUAUUGGAACUUAUUGUUGAUGCAGGCCUGACCGGUGCCAAACCUGCAUCCACACCAAUGGAGUACAAUUUGAGAUUGACUUCAGUAGAGCAUGAUCAAGCAAAUGGCUACACUGCAGACGUUGUGCUGCAUGACAUUACUCCAUAUCAAAGAUUGGUUGGUAAAUUGUUGUAUGCUACUAUCACUAGACCAGAUAUAAGUUAUGCAGUGCAAACACUCAGCCAGUUCAUGCAAUCUCCCAAGAAAUCACAUAUGGAAGCAGCUACUAGAGUGAUUAGAUAUUUGAAAGGAUCAAUUGGUCAAGGUGUUUGGCUACAUUCUGAACCUGCUAACAUACUUACUUGUUGGUGUUAUUCUGAUUGGGCUGCUUGUCCUAACACAAGAAGAUCCAUCACAAGAUAUGUCAUUAAGUUUGGAGAGUCCUUAGUUUCUUGAAAAUCAAAACAAUCCGUUUCAAGAAGCUCAGCUGAAGCUGAGUACAAAAGUAUGGCUUCAACAGUCUCAAAAAUCACAUGGCUUCUAAGCUUGUUCAAAGAAUUAGGAGUGGAUGUUCAGUUACCUAUUAUUAUCUUCAGUGACAGCAAAUCAGCUAUACAGUUAGCAGAUAAUCCAGUGUUACAUGAAAGAACAAAACACAUUGAGAUAGAUUGUCAUUUUAUCCCGGAUAGGAUUAAAGCAGGCGAGGUUGACACUGCUUAUGUACAUACACAACAACAACUUGCAGACAUAUUGACAAAAAGAUUGAGUCAAGCUCAACAUGUGCAUCUUUUAGGCAAGCUUAGAGAGAUCAAUGUUAUGUACUCAUCAGCUUGAGGGGGCGUGUUAAAAACAGUUAAUGAAUAUUAGUUAGUUAAAUAACUAACAAUUCAAAAGUUAGUUAGUAGCUCUGUUUUGUAAUUUUCAGAUUACUAGUUAAAGUAGUUUGUUGCCUCGUUUAUCGUGCUAAUAAGAAUUAGUCGGUAGAUAUUUUGUACAUCCUUUCUCUGCUUCUGAUUGCUAUAUAAGAAGUGAAAGGAUUUCACAUGUAAGGAGUUUAACAGAUCAAUACAAAAUUUCCUCUUCUCUCAUCUUCAUGUUCUAGCUUUCUCUAUAAAGGUUCUUCAAUGGAGUUGUGAGCUUGAAUGCUUACUAGGUCCUUAAGAAUGAAAUGUGAAAUUGGUCCUUAAAUUGUUUCGCGAACAUUAUUGAACUAGUCCUUAGAAUGAUUUUGGGACCAUAUUUUUGGUUCAUGAUUAAAAUGAUUUCACAAUUAUUUAAAAUUGAAAAAAAAAAAUCACCUCACGCAUCUAUUUACGGGUUAAUAUAUUAUCUUUAUAUAUUUUUUUAACUAUUUAUAAAAUUUUAAUUACAAGUACUAAAAAUCAGGUUUAAUUUAUUAAUCAAUUAUAUUUAUCAAUUUAUAUAAUGUUAAUAGGUCAGAGAAAGAAAAUUUUAUGAGAGAGAAUACGUUUAUAAUUAUCAAGUACAUCUUUGAAGUGAUUAUUUAACCCAUCACUUGCGACACCCCACCCCCACUCCUACAUACACACGACGAUUUCUUUUUUAACCCACAUGAAUCUCACUUUCUCUUCCAACGUCUUCAUUGUUGUCCUCCUUAUUUAGAAGUGACACUUCUAAAGGACCAACAAUGUAUCAUGUUGUUGUACCCAAGGAAAUAGUAUUUGUACUAGCAAUUUCCUAAAAUUCACCAGGCGUACACCUUUUCUAGAUGGGUGUUUUAGUAUUCUUACUAGCUAUGUGGGAUACAACUGUUAUCCACCUCCAUUUUCAUUUAUUGUUACUGCAUAACCCUAUUGGACACAAUCCAAGGCGAAUUGUAAUAAAAGAGGGAUAUUUAGGUAUUUUACCUGCAAUUGCAGAGGUUCCAAAUGAGUUAAGUAAAUGUUAAACACGUGUUAUAUCGGAGUCAACAUUUUUCUUUCUUUACCCUCUUCUUCAUCUUCCUCAUUCUUCCUCUUCCUUUCCGAAUCCUCACAUCUCUCUCAAAUAAAAUUAUGUAGAAAAAUUCAAAUAAAUAAACCCAACAACUAUUGGAUGCUUCACAGAUUUAAGCUUACAUUGCAGAUGUUGCACCAGUUCCCCAUGUAAAACACAUUCAAUCUCUCUCACAUCAAAUGGCAGUUCCGAUCGAAAAAGCCACAACUGCACUAUCCAUAUUUUCUCUAGAGAUAACAAACUCUAUUAACACUGUUUUGAAAAUUCAAUUGUUUUUAGUGAGCAUGUUUUCCUAAUUGAUGAAUUUCUUCCUUUGUCGUUAUAAUUUCAGGAUGAUCAAGCAGAGGUACAAGGCUCGGUGUUUUGGGUUUCAGCUAAAAGAGGUGCAACUAUUAGUCCAAUCGGUAACAUAUCACUUUUACAUUUAUUUUAGGUUUUCGGUUCUAAUUCAGUUUUUCCUCCAUUUCUUUGUAAUUGGUAAUUCAGUUGCUUGAUCUUCCCUUUGAGCAAGUCCUUGUGAAUGUUCCUUGUAGGUCUUCCUUUCUGGAAGUAUAGCCCACCAUGAAAUCAAACUACCUCAAGUAGUAUCUUAACUACUUGAAAAGUGUUCAUUUUACUACUUUUAACGUUCCAAAAUGAAUUUGGCAGAGUACGGUAAUGUGGUUGCAUUUAGGUUUUAUUUAUCUGAAAACACUUAAGAUAUUAACUAAUUGGUAUGUGUUAAGAAAUUGUAUCAUCAUUAUGCUGCUGAAAUUGUUCACACAACACACUUACACAAGAGGGGAAGGAAAUGGGUUAUGUGCUCUACACAUAUAGAAAUUGAGUUAAAGCGCUUCGUCAGGUUAGUAAGGAAUUUCAACUUUUAACAGAAAAUAUUUUGAUCUCUUAAUGAGAUAAGGUUUUACAUUAUCAUUAUCUUUUACUUUGCGUCUAUGCUUUUUAUUUUUGUUUGUGCUGGUGAAAAUGAUUAUAACUGAAAAAGAGUGGGUCAGAUUCUGCAUUUCUUUAGUCAGAUUUUCCAUAUUGAUAGUUGGUGAUCCUUAAGGAUUCUUCAAGUCUAGAAGGGGUUUAAGGAUGGGUGAUCAUUUAUCCUAUAUCUCUUUGUCUUCGUGAUGAAAAUCCAAGCUUAACAUUCAAAAUGGUAGAGAGUUUGGGAUAGUUUAAGGGCCUAUGCAUUGGCAAGAAUGGAGAGGAAGAAAUUGUGCCUACGCUUUCUAUAUGCAUAUGAUACUUUACUUUUUUGUGAGGCAGAAAGAGACCAACUAUUGCAUUAAAGAAGGGUUUUAUUUAGUUUUCAAGCAAUAUCUUAGCUGAAAAUCUAUCUAAAAGCAUUAAUGCAAAAUUUUUGCAUUGAGGAAUUAGCUGGUAUUUUUUGAGUGUGAAAUGAAUAAGUUUCCUACAAUAUAUUUUUCAGUAGGGAUGAAGAAGAAAGUCAUACACGAGUAAUUGAUAGUUGUACAAAUAAGUUUGUUUCAGAUUUAUUUUUAUAUGUAUAGACAAUCCUCAACUUUAAUUAAUUCAUCAUCUUCAAGCUUUGAAUUUCGAGUAGCGAAUGAAGUUGGAGAAGGAAGACAAGGGAAGAAGGAGUGCUCAAUAUUUAGGUUUAGUCAUUUGUAUGCAAUGUACAUGUUUUAGUCAUAAAAAAAGACUCAUAAACAUGUAGUCCACAUGAGCGGAUAUAAUCUAACUUGUGUUUGAUGUUAGCUUGCAUUACAGAUGUUGCACCAGUUCCCAUAUGUUGACACAUUCAGGUAUUUGUUAUGUUGCUUAAGAUAUCUCAAUCGACACUGUCAACUUGCUUUUAAGCCUUACACCUAUUUAUACUAAAUCACCAAUUAUCUAACUUUGAUGAAAUUAGCAUUUUUGUGAACGAGCCCCCCGACAUUGUGUCUCCCCCUCCCUCGUUUGGCAUUUGGGUUCGUUGAGACGGAGAGUUCAUGGGAGUUGGAUCCGGGAUUCAUAUAGGUUGACCUUGAAUUACUAGCAUUGGUUGUCAGGGGAAAAACAGUGAGUAGAGUUUAUUAUGUCUAUUGGGUGAAGAAGGGAAUCUGCACCAUACUUUCCAUGUUUGAAAAACUGCUUAGAUGAUGGGGUAAAUUCCAAAGUGCUUGCAUGGUGCUGAAGAACUCCGGAGUUGCGGCUAGCGUAAGAAGAUCCAUUGCAUUGGUCACCCGCAUCUGGCUUACAAAGUUCUCCAUGGCUAACUUCAUUCCCUCCGUGACUAACUGCGCCAGAAAGUUUGAGUUUUGUAGAAUUAUUAUCGUCUUUACUCCAUUGAUGUCCAUGGAGAAGAGAGCUGCAUGGCCUGGGAGAGCUGUCUCCACCCAUGACUGGGGAUGAUGGAGAGGGUGAAUUGGUUGAGUGGCGAAUGGCGAAUACAAGGGGAGCUUAGAGGGUCUCUGGGGUAUUGGGGAGUAAGUAAGGAUUGCUCAUCGCAGAGAAUGGGUUUCUCGAUGAGCGAGAGAUGGGAAGGAGACGAACUUUCUGAUGAAUAGGAAUUGGAGCUCUGAACAUUCUUAAUAAGAUUUAUUUUGAUAUUAGAGUUAAGAGAGUUGGGAAAUUAUUGAGUAUCAACAAUGGAAGAUAUAAUAGACGGGGGAUUGGUCAUCAUUGGCGUGUCGAUAGCACAGGAAAAUUUUGGAAAAUUUGUAACGUUAUUAUCUAUAUCCACUUGUUCAGUUAUCUUAGCCAAGUGUAUAACCUGAGUAGGGGUACCCUUAGUAUUUAUGUCAACCCUACUAGUAUUAGGGGUAAAAUUAGAAUUUAAUAAUUUUUCUAAUUGAGAAGUCGACACGUCGUUGCAAUUUGUAGGAUGAAUUGAAAAGUUUUGCCUAGAGCAUGUCGCCUCAGAAUCUAGAGAGUCGGGAUCAUUAGUAGGGGUAAAGUAAUUGAAUCUUUUCUGAAUUCAUUAUUAAUAUUUUCUUCCUCCAUAUUUUUCAAGAUGUCAAAUUUGUUUAUCGAGGAACUGUCAAAAUUUUGCUUAUCAAUCCUUAGAAGAGUCUGAGAGUAGUUCUGAAUAACUGGGGAGUUUCUAAAAUUAUCAGAAUUUUGCAAAACAACAGUAGUAGCAAAUUGUUUAGGACUGGGGGAGCAUUGAUCAGAGGAAAUCAUGGGAACUAAAGAAUUUACCUAUUCCUGUAUACAUAAAUUUGACGUUUUUACCUGGGUUGCUUAUAUUAGCAGGGUCGAUUGCAUUCUUCGUAAGAUUUUGUAUUUGACGCUUUUUGCGAGGGAACUUUACUGUAAGCCAUUGACUUGACAUGGUGUCCUUCAGUGUACAAUGUUGUUUUCGACUUGUUUGAUAUACCAGUCACCAAAUGUUUCCCACUCUGUUCCUUUUUAUCGAAACUUAAUGAUGAGUUGUAGGGACAUAUAGGGAUAGUAUGUCCCAGUCUCCCACGGUUCUUGCAUAGGAAACCUUCUCCUUCUUAGGCAAUAUCCUGUUUAUGCCCUCCUAUUUGAAUGGAUGUAGUGACCGAUUCUUCCAUUGGAAUCUGUACACAUAGUCUUGCGUAUCUCCCUCGCAGAGUAGCACUUGUACAGGCAUCUAUUUUCACGAAUGUACCGAUAGAGUUGCCAAUACGUCUUAAUAGUAUACAAUCAUAAAACUCUAUAGGAAGUUGCGGUAGACGCACCCAAACAGCCGUGUAAGUUAAUUUGGAUUUUUCUGGGUUGAAAUUAGGAACCCAUCUUUGAAUUGAUAAGAAAUGACCAUUAAUGAACCACGGGCCAUUUUGCUGGACAUAAGAGCGUUAUCCUCGUCUGCUAGUUUUACCGUGAAAAAAUCUGACCUAGAUCAAUGAUUGAAAAAUUUUCGGGUAGCCGCCAGAGAGCUUGGAUUUUCUGCUUUUAAGUAUUGGUGGGCGAUUCUUUUAUCGAUAAGUUUAAUUAUGACAGAAUUUUUCCACGGGUCCCAGACCCUUUCACUUUCAUCCUGGGAAAGAGUAAUUGUUUUUAUAUUGCUAGAGAGGUUAUUCUCUGACAUGACUUCCUUAGGUACGUUUAAGGAAUUCAAAUAACUUGUAUUAUUGUAGUCAUACAUGUCUACGUCGGAGAUGUAUUAUCCUGCUAAUAAUUUUUCUUUAAAACUAUCUUUUCAGGAAGUAAGAACACAUUUAUCAGGGGGAAUUUGUGUUCUUGGUAAUUCUGGAGAAUUAGACAACAUGUGGGAGGGGGGUGAAGCUUGAAAAUAAAGCAGGGUAUUCUAGAGAGAAGCGAUAGAAACUAAUUUCUAGAGAUAUAAAGGAAUAACAAGUUUUCCCUUAAAAAGAACACUCAUUUAAUUGCAUCUUAUGUCUAUUAUUAAUUCAUUACUAUUAUUGAUUUGUUUGUUAAUAUAUAUUCCAUUCUUAUACCUUUUCUUAUUUUAACAGAUGUUAUAACCCAUCAUCGUUGAGUGUUAAAACUUGAAACAUAAUGAAUAAUGCCAUAACUAGUAAUAAUUGGUCUUACAUAUGUUAAUUUUAAAAAUUUCAUGUAAAGUUUUUGUUGGAAAUAAGUUACAUAAUUGAAUUGUUCAAAAUUCAAGAUGAAUAUUUGAUUAUUUUUUUUAUAUUUGUUUUUCCUUUCAUAAAGUUUUCUAAGUAUUUUCGAAAAGAUAAUUACAGUACUUAUGAAGUUAUAUUCAUGAUUUCACAAUGGGAAAUAAUGAAAAAAAAUUUAAAUUAUAUUGGCUUAAGUCAUCGGCAGCCACUUAAAGUUGUUCAUAUAAUUUACUUGAACACCUCAACCUAACCAUAUACCUAUUGAACAUUUCUACCAAUUUGAAUUUAAAUCAUUUGAACACUUUUUUGACAUCAGCUAAAAGUACGAAAUGUGUGUAACACACUCGCCAUGACGUGGCAAGCUAACAAAUUAAUGACAUACACGUGGCAAUUUGAGUUUAAAUAAUAAUUAAAUUUUAUUAAGAAAUCAAAAAGAAAAAAAUGGAAAAGGUUAUGUCCUCUAACCUUCGACCCUGCUACCUCCUCUAUUCAAAUUUCAAAGUGUUUCAUCCACCUAUUGUCGCCGCCUUCAGUUGUCAAUCCAUCAUCUUUAUUUUUAUUAAUUCAACUAAAAAUAAAUUCAAAUAUGUGGUCUACAGAAAAAGAAUAUUUGAAAUAACAAACUACGUACUCUUCUUUAGUUUCUUCAUUUUUCUUCUCUAAUGCAAAAGAAAGUUAAAGGAAAUUCAACCAUUAAUGGUGGAAUGGAAGUGUUUGUGCAGAGAUUUUCUAACUCCAAAUAAGAGGUUCUGAAACUAUUUGUUUAAAGUUCAUCGAUUUAUUCAUUUCUAUUCCUUUUCUCAUCAAGUUAAUGGUGGAAUUUUUUUUUUUGGAAGAAAUUACUUGAAGAAUUUAAAAAUUGUUUGAUUUGAGCUUAACAGAAAAGAGAAGAAUUGGUGGUGGUGGCGCUAGCGCGGUGGAAAUGGUGCCAGCGAGGUGCACGGUUGAACUGAUAAUGGUGUAGCCCUGUAGGAAGAAGAUAUGGUCAAAGAAAAAAGGAAAAUAAAGAGGUACAUUUUUGAAGAAGAUAUGUUCACGCGCUAAGUAACGGUGUUAUACACUUUUCGUGCCAUGUCAUCGAAAGGUGUUCAAUAGGUACUUAUUUUGAAUAACUUAUAUGUUCAAUAGGUACAACUAUUAGUUAAAGUAUCUAAGUGAAUUAUGCGGACAACUUUAAGUGGCUGCCAAUCACUUAAGUCAAUUAUAUUCAUAAAUAUUUCUCUUAAUAUGUAUACAUUGUCUCAUAAAUUCACUUUUUAUGGAAUAGAGGAAGUACUUCUCAA